rnacentral:lncRNA from 1 species
GUUGUUAGUUACAAAAAAAUCCCUGAAUGUUGUUACUCUUGUUAAAAUAUUCAUUAAAGAAUGGCUUGAGGUUUUUUCUUAAUUAUACUGUUAUUAAUCUUUGAACUCAUUUUAAUGGAUGUGGCAUUAUUGUUCUCUAACCAACUGAGCUUAUAAUUCUAUUGCUAUAUUUGUGGUUGGCCAGGCACAACACAUUGUACCACACCAACUUAUUUACAUUAUUUUUUUUUCAUUCUAUUAUUAACAGUCUAAUGAUUUUUUUUUUUGAAGUAAGCAGGAACCCUGUAUAACCUGCUGUAGUUGAUUUGUGAAGUAUAGAGGAGAAAUAUCACAGGGCAGUAAAGACCUAAGCUUGUGCAAAAAGUGGGGUAUGAAAUUAUGAAGUCAAACUAGCAUUCCUCACUGACAGCUUUCCAAAACAAAAAGUUAAAUCAUUGUUAAAAACACAAAGCGAAAUGAACAAUUUUGUGGUUGGCUUUUGAAUACAGCUGCCUAAAAAAUUCAUAUAUGCAGUUUAAAGUAAUUACAUUAAUUAUAACACAUGUUUCUAUUAUUACCAUAAUGACAGUACACAUUUUAAAGCGGGCUGAAGAUCUGAACCACUUUCUUUUGCUGUUUUUGCUUCAGAGAAAGCUGAGGCUAGUGUAGCCGUCCAAUUUGCAGCCAUGAGGACGUGGCUGGACAUCUUCCCCACGAGCGGAAAUUCCCCUCACACCCUUUGUGCCUCUCCCUCUGCUGACCUGGUGGACUGGAGUUGAGAAGGAAGAAGAAGUAAAUCUGAAUUCCAACUUUCUCACCGUAGCUCAUGUUUCCACAGCUCAGACUGUUAUCCUUUCAUUUUCUCAGCCAUUCAGAUGUACAGCAUGCUAUCAUAUUAACACUACUCAGACAAGGAUAUUCAUUUGCAUUUUCAUAGUCACUUCCUUCGCAUUGUGUUUAACAAGUGAUGCAGAAAACGAAUGGGCAAAGAUGUGGUUCUCCACUCAACAAAACUAUCCCUUGGAAGAAGCUACAAAAUAGUUCAGUCUCUUGGAAGACAGAUGUUGUCAGCCAAUGCAAAU